AUUGAACGCUGGCGGCAGGCCUAACACAUGCAAGUCGAGCGGAUGAAGGGAGCUUGCUCCUGGAUUCAGCGGCGGACGGGUGAGUAAUGCCUAGGAAUCUGCCUGGUAGUGGGGGAUAACGUCCGGAAACGGGCGCUAAUACCGCAUACGUCCUGAGGGAGAAAGGGGGGGAUCUUCGACCUUACGGUAAUCGGUUAACCCUAGGUCGGAUUAGCUAGUUGGUGGGGUAAAGGCCUACCAAGGCGACGAUCCGUAACUGGUCUGAGAGGAUGAUCAGUCACACUGGAACUGAGACACGGUCCAGACUCCUACGGGAGGCAGCAGUGGGGAAUAUUGGACAAUGGGCGAAAGCCUGAUCCAGCCAUGCCGCGUGUGUGAAGAAGGUCUUCGGAUUGUAAAGCACUUUAAGUUGGGAGGAAGGGCAGUAAGUUAAUACCUUGCUGUUUUGACGUUACCAACAGAAUAAGCACCGGCUAACUUCGUG
rnacentral:rRNA from 1 species